rnacentral:rRNA from 1 species
GGAAGAAUCUCUCGGGAUUUUGAAGAGUGGCGAACGGGUGAGGAACACGUAAGAAUCUACCUUUCGGUUCGGAACAACACGGGGAAACCUGUGCUAAUACCGGAUAAGUCCUAACGGAGAAAGUUUUAAUGCCAAAAGAUGAGCCCGCAUUUGAUUAGCUAGUUGGUAAGGUAAAAGCUUACCAAGGCGAUAAUCAAUAGCUGAUUUGAGAGGAUGAUCAGCCACACUGGGACUGAGAUACGGCCCAGACUCC